rnacentral:tRNA from 1 species
GAGGGUAUAGCUCAGUGGAAGAGUGCCUGCCUAGCAUGCACAAGGUCCUGGGUUCAAUCCCCAGUACCUCCA